UACGGGGGGAGCAAGCGUUGUUCGGAUUUAUUGGGCGUGAAGAGCUCGUAGGCGGCUCGGUAAGUCAGGUGUGAAAACUCUAGGCUCAACCUAGAGACGCCACCUGAUACUGCCGUGGCUAGAGUCCGGUAGGGGAGCAUGGAAUUCCUGGUGUAGCGGUGAAAUGCGCAGAUAUCAGGAGGAACACCAGUGGCGAAGGCGGUGCUCUGGGCCGGAACUGACGCUGAGACGCGAAAGCGUGGGGAGCGAACAGG
rnacentral:rRNA from 1 species